CGGCGGCACUAUGACCAAGUCCAGGGGAUUCUUCUUUUCACCAGCGGACACUGGUGUUACGCGGAAGAAGAAACACUACUUCCAGUAUCAGAAAUAGUUAAUUUAGUUUGUUUCACACUCAUCAUUUAUGUUAACCAGUUUUUGUACAUUGUUAGUUAUUUAAUUAUUUAUCUUUAAGCAUGGAAAUAGUCAUGUUUCCCAAUAUUUUUGACUAACCUGUGUUAUUAUUUAAUAUAUUAUCCAUAUUAGUGGUUAGGAAAUCGUACUAUCCGAAAUAAAUAAUAAUAAAAUAAAAAUCUAUUAUAAUCUUUUCGUUGUUGGGUCAGGGCCGCAUUUAGCGAUAA